rnacentral:tRNA from 1 species
GCAGUGGUGGGUCAGUGGGAGAAUUCUCGCCUUCCAUGUGGGAGGCCCAGGUUCGAUUUCUGGCCAGUGCA